CCAGGUUGAUUCUGCCUGACGUAGACGCUAUUCCCUAAGAUUAACCCAUGCAUGUUAUUGAUUUUUGAAAAAUGGACUGCUCAGUAAUACUCACUUUAUUUUAUGUAUACUUAUUAUAACUACGUUAAAGUGUAGAUAAAAUGUAUACAGUAAGAGUGAGACCUAUCAGCUAGUUGUUAAGGUAAUGGCUUAACAAGGCAGUGACGGGUAACGGUAUUACUUUGUAAUAUUCCGGAGAAGGAGCCUGAGAGACGGCUACUAAGUCUAAGGAUUGCAGCAGGGGCGAAACUUGACCUAUGGAUUUUAUCUGAGGCAGUUAUGGGAAGUAAUAUUAUAUUGUUUCAUAUUUUAAAAGUAUAUGAGGUGAUUAAUUGGAGGGCAAAUCAAGCGCCAGCAGCCGCGGUAAUACUUGUUCCAAGAGUGUGUAUGAUGAUCGAUGCAGUUAAAAAGUCCGUAGUUUAUUUUUAAGAAGCAAUAUGAGGUGUACUGUAUAGUUGGGAGAGAGAUGAAAUGUGACGACCCUGACUGGACGAACA
rnacentral:rRNA from 1 species